ensembl:miRNA
CUUCACCUGAAUGCAUGACUCUGCAACCUCAGGACUCUCAAAACUACUGGAUUGCUGUCCUGAGGUUGUUGAGUUGUACGUUUCUGGGC